GUUAAUGUAGCUUAACACCAAAGCAAAGCACUGAAAAUGCUUAGAUGAGCUCACUCGCUCCAUAAACA
rnacentral:tRNA from 1 species